rnacentral:rRNA from 1 species
UACAUAAGCAAUUUGCCCAUCGGCCUGGGAUAACAGUUGGAAACGACUGCUAAUACCGGAUAGGUGAUGAAGGGGCAUCUCUUGAUCAUUAAAGUUGGGAUACAACACGGAUGGAUGAGCUUAUGGCGUAUUAGCUAGUAGGUGAGGUAACGGCUCACCUAGGCGAUGAUACGUAGCCGACCUGAGAGGGUGACCGGCCACAUUGGGACUGAGACACGGCCCAA